rnacentral:sRNA from 25 species
GUCAGUAACCCAGCCCUAAAGGGACUGGGCUUGCAAGAGUAAUCAAGCAAGCCGUGCUGACCAGACCACCCUGAGUUUACUCUCAUGGUAGCCGUUAUUUGAGUCACGACAUCCACCGAAUGCGUUGCCCCUUCGGGGUUCAGCAGUCGCUCAUGGGGGAAACCCCCAAGACCGCGCUGCUUCACUAGUUCCCUGCUCUGUC